rnacentral:lncRNA from 1 species
GCUGAGGGUCUCCAAGGGGCGCGGAGCCCUGGGUUGCCCAGUCCCAGGAGAGCUGCUCUCUGAGGAGGACGCAGCUCCCUGGUUCUGUCUGCGCCAGACGCCAACAGCCACAGACAACAGAGACGAGGACAAAGGCAACUCCAGCUCCCAGUCCAUCCGACCUGUGCCCAUCUGGCUCUUUGCUGAAAUGGACCGCAAGCUUUCCCACGACGAUGUCCAGAAGUUUUCCCACGGGGAAGGUGAGAGGUUUGCAGAACUGUCACCAUGCGAACAAGAGCUCUUCUCCCACAUGUCCCAGUGGAAAAAUAGCAGAGAACCAGACUUCUACCGAGUGAUAGACAGCAGUGACAACGAGCUGUUGCAAGGACCAGACGCCAGAGCACAAGAGCUGCCCCAGUGGCCAGAUAUUGAAGACCAAAAGCUGUCCCGACGGCAGGAACAUGUGAGCAGUCAGGAGCUGUCCCAAUGGAGAAAGGACAUAGCCGUGCAAGCGAGUCCCACGGAGCAGAACAUCGACUGGGAGAUGCUGGGCGAGGUGCUGCAGGAGGUCCAGGCACUGAAGCUGGAGCUGCUUGCCCUUCAACAGGUGUUGGCUGGGGACGAAUCUGUAGACACAGCCAAAAAUGAAGAGAGCUCAGUGCUUUCCCCACACAGCACCCCCAGCCUCUGGCCUGCCCAGCUGAGUUCCCAAGCCCCCAGGGAGCAGCAGGAGGAGGGGGCAGCAUCAGCAUCUGUGCGGGCAGUGCAGGAGAGCGAGGAUGGGACCUUGACUGGGGAGGACAAAGACUGGGAAGAUGACAUCGAUUCAGAGCUUUCCCAGUGGGAAAAUAAGGAACAGGCAGAGGUGUCCCACAGAGAAAUGAACAACUCCCAAGAAGUGUCCCAGGGGCAAGAGUGCCCUGAGCAGGAGCCGUGCAGCCAAGGGCCGGCGCCUGCCCCGCACAGCCCCCCCAGCCCCUGGCCUGCCCGGCUGGGAGCCCAGGCCCUCCGCGGGCAGCCGGCUGCCCCCGGGAAACGUCCCUCCCGCUUCAGGCGGGCGCUGCGGGCGCUGCGGGGGCUGUUCUGCUGUUCCUGCCUCAGACCACGCACAGAGGAGUAAAACGGACAUGGGAAAAAAUAAAGAGGACAAAGAUGACAUGGCAGAUGAAGAAGAUGAAGACAGAGAAGAAGAUGAAGACAAAUAGGAUGAAGAAGAUGAAGAAGAGAAAAAAGAGGAAGAAGACAAAGAUGAAGAGUAAAAAGACAAGACAGAGAACAUUUAUUUAAGAAUAGAUAGAAGAAGUAUAAUAAUAAGAAUUUAGUAAUACUUAGAAGAAGAGUACUAGGAAUAGGAAUAGGAAUUUCAAAAUAUGUAGAAGAAGAAGUAUAGGAAUAAGAAUUUUAAAAUAUGUAGUAGAAGAAGAAAAAUAAGAAUAGGAAUAGGAAUAAGGAUAUAAAAAUACAUAGAAGUAGCAAAGAAGAAGAAUAGUAAGAAAGAGUAGGAAGAAGAAGAAGAGCCAUAAGAAGAAUAAGAAUAGAAAAAUGAAGAGAAAAUUGAAGUAAUAAGUAAAAUUAGCAAAUAAUUUAUUUUUAUUACAUAUUGUAUAUUUCUAUUUCAGUCUAUGAAAUAAAAACAUUAGUAUACAUUAUGUUGUAAUUACAAUAUAUUAUAAUGUCCCCACGCUGUUCCCGUUAUUGAAGAAUCUGUGUGUUUUCUAACAAUGUCUUACAGAACCCCAGAAUCCCUGGGGCUGGAAAAGCUCUCCCAGCCCAUGGAGUCCCAGCUGGGCCCCAUG